UCAUAAAACCGGUCGUAGUCCGGAUUGGAGUCUGCAACUCGACUCCAUGAAGUCGGAAUCGCUAGUAAUCGUGGAUCAGAAUGCCACGGUGAAUACGUUCCCGGGCCUUGUACACACCGCCCGUCACACCAUGGGAGUGGGAUGCAAAAGAAGUAGGUAGCUUAACCUUCGGGAUGGCGCUUACCACUUUGUGUUUCAUGACUGGGGUGAAGUCGUAACAAGGUAGCCCUAGGGGAACCUGGGGCUGGAUCACCUCCUU
rnacentral:rRNA from 1 species